GCCCUUAGGUACGGAAUAACAGUGAGAAAUUACUGCUAAUACCGUAUGAUGUCUUCGGACCAAAGAUUUAUCGCCUAGGGAUGAGCCCGCGUAGGAUUAGCUAGUUGGUGAGGUAAAGGCUCACCAAGGCUACGAUCCUUAGCUGGUCUGAGAGGAUGAUCAGCCACACUGGGACUGAGACACGGCCCAGACUCCUACGGGAGGCAGCAGUGGGGAAUAUUGGACAAUGGGCGAACAGUGAUCCAGCAAUGCCGCGUGAGUGAAGAAGGCCUUCGGGUUGUAAAGCUCUUUUACCCGGGAAGAUAAUGACCGUACCGGGAGAAUAAGCCCCGGCUAACUCCGUGCCAGCAGCCGCGGUAAUACGGAGGGGGCUAGCGUUGUUCGGAAUCACUGGGCGUAAAGCGUGCGUAGGCGGCCAUUCAAGUCAGAGGUG
rnacentral:rRNA from 1 species